rnacentral:lncRNA from 1 species
UUUUUAUAUCUGCUUUCAAAAGUUUUAUUCUAUAUACAUGUUAUAUAUGUAUAAUAUUCUCCAUUUUAGAAGAGAGAUCAUCGUCUGUUAUUCUUUCUUGUGCUUAAAAAAGUUUUACAUUCUCGUGUUUUAUGGGAUAAUUUCCAAGUGAAGAAUCUGAUAGCAUUUGAGAAUCAAUUUAUGUGAAAUUCAAUCAUUAAAUAGAGCUGGUGUAAAAUGCUGAUUGGUUGCGCCUUGUUGACCC